UACGAGGGGGGCAAGUGUUGUUCGGAAUUACUGGGCGUAAAGGGAGCGUAGGCGGGCUCUUAAGUUGGAUGUUUAAAACCGGGGCCUAACCCCGGCGUGGCAUCCAAAACUGGGAGUCUUGAAUGGGACAGAGGCCAGUGGAAUUAGAGGUGUAGCGGUGGAAUGCGUAGAUAUCGUCAGGAACGCCGGUGGUGAAGACGGGUGACUGGGCUAGUUCUGACACUGAGGCACGAAAGCGUGGGGAGCGAACGGG
rnacentral:rRNA from 1 species